rnacentral:rRNA from 1 species
CAAUAGCGUAUAUUAAAGUUGUUGCAGUUAAAAAGCUCGUAGUUGGAUUUGUGGCGUACGGUGUGUUCCGGGCACUUGUUGUCUGAGUAACCUGCUGUUGCCAUCCUUGGGUGGAACCUGUGUGGCAUUAGGUUGUCGUGCAGGGGAUGCCCAUCAUUUACUGUGAAAGAAUUAGAGUGUUCAAAGCAGGCUUAUGCCGUUGAAUAUAUUAGCAUGGAAUAAUGAGAUAGGACUUUUUUGCUAUUUUGUUGGUUUGCGCAAAGAGGUAAUGAUUAAUAGGGACAGUUGGGGGUAUUCGUAUUCCAUAGUCAGAGGUGAAAUUCUUGGAUUUUUGGAAGACGAACUACUGCGAAAGCAUUUACCAAGGAUGUUUUCAUUAA